rnacentral:rRNA from 1 species
GAUGAACGCUGGCGGCGUGCCUAAUACAUGCAAGUCGAGCGAACAGACGAGGAGCUUGCUCCUCUGACGUUAGCGGCGGACGGGUGAGUAACACGUGGAUAACCUACCUAUAAGACUGGGAUAACUUCGGGAAACCGGAGCUAAUACCGGAUAAUAUAUUGAACCGCAUGGUUCAAUAGUGAAAGACGGUUUUGCUGUCACUUAUAGAUGGAUCCGCGCCGCAUUAGCUAGUUGGUAAGGUAACGGCUUACCAAGGCAACGAUGCGUAGCCGACCUGAGAGGGGGAUCGGCCACCACGGAACUGAGACACGGCCCAGACCCCUAGGGGGGGCAGCAGUAGGGAAUUUUCCGCAAUGGGCGAAAGCCUGACGGAGCAACGCCGCGGGAGUGAUGAAGGUCUUCGGAUCGUAAAACUCUGUUAUUAGGGAAAAACAAAUGUGUAAGUAACUAUGCACGUUUUGACGGUACCUAAUCAGAAAGCCACGGCUAACUACGU